rnacentral:rRNA from 1 species
CCUACGGGUGGCAGCAGUGAGGAAUAUUGGUCAAUGGCCGGAAGGCUGAACCAGCCAUGCCGCGUGAAGGUCAGUGCCCUAUGGGCGUUAAACUUCUUUUGUGCGGGAGCAAUAAUGGUCACGUGUGGCCAGACGAGAGUACCGUACGAAUAAGCAUCGGCUAACUCCGUGCCAGCAGCCGCGGUAAUACGGGGGAUGCAAGCGUUAUCCGGAUUGAUUGGGUUUAAAGGGUGCGUAGGCUGGGAGGUAAGUCAGCGGGGAAAUGGCUCCGCUCAACGGGGUGAAGUGCCAUGGAUACUGGAUUGCUGGAAUGCGGAUGCCGUGGGAGGAAUGUGUGGUGUAGCGGUGAAAUGCAUAGAUAUCACACGGAACACCGAUUGCGAAGGCAUCUCACGAAUCCGCGAUUGACGCUGAGGCACGAAAGCGUGGGUAGCAAACAGGAUUAGAUACCCUUGUAGUC